GGAGCAAACGAAGUGAAGCAUGUUAUUUAAUACGAAAGUACGCGUAAAAUCUUACCAGUUCUUGCAUAGCCAAUCCCUCUUAUUUAUUUAGAUAAAAACUACUCACUACUCCCACCUUUGCCUUUAUAAGCAUAUAGCAAAAGCAAAGGUGGGAUGGUGGGAGAAGUUUUUUCUUUUAAAUUUAAGACUGGAUUGAGUGAUAAUUAUUUAUUAAUAAGUUUUUUUUUCCUUUUCUUGUUUCUUCUCUAUCUAUAUAUACACCUUUGCUUUUCCCUCCAUCAUUAAGUAUUGGAGCAAAGGAAAGUAAAGGAUGAUAGAAACGGUGGAGACAAAAAAAUAGUGUAAUAAUAUUUAAUUUAUUUAUAUUAAUUUAUCCGUUUACAGGUGUUG
rnacentral:rRNA from 1 species